GUGGGGAAUAUUGGACAAUGGGGGGAACCCUGAUCCAGCCAUGCCGCGUGUGUGAAGAAGGCCUUUUGGUUGUAAAGCACUUUAAGCGAGGAGGAGGCUACCGAGAUUAAUACUCUUGGAUAGUGGACGUUACUCGCAGAAUAAGCACCGGCUAACUCUGUGCCAGCAGCCGCGGUAAUACAGAGGGUGCAAGCGUUAAUCGGAUUUACUGGGCGUAAAGCGCGCGUAGGUGGCCAAUUAAGUCAAAUGUGAAAUCCCCGAGCUUAACUUGGGAAUUGCAUUCGAUACUGGUUGGCUAGAGUAUGGGAGAGGAUGGUAGAAUUCCAGGUGUAGCGGUGAAAUGCGUAGAGAUCUGGAGGAACACCGAUGGCGAAGGCAGCCAUCUGGCCUAAUACUGACACUGAGGUGCGAAAGCAUGGGGAGCAAACAGGAUUAGAAACCCCGGUAGUCC
rnacentral:rRNA from 1 species